rnacentral:rRNA from 1 species
GAUGAACGCUAGCUGCAGGCUUAACACAUGCAAGUCGAGGGACCGGCGCACGGGUGAGUAACACGUAUCCAACCUGCCCUGUACUCGAGGAUAGCCUUUCGAGAGAAAGAUUAAUACACGAUGGAAAGGAUGGGGAUGGGUUCCAUUAGGGUGUGGGUAAGGUAACGGCUCACCCAGCCUUCGAUGGAUAGGGGAUCUGAGAGGAAGGUCCACUACAAUGGAACUGAGACACAGUCCAAACUCCUACGGGAGGCAGGAGUGAGGAAUAUUAGGCAAGGAGCGCUAGCCUGAACCAGCCAAGUAGCGUGAAGGAGGAAGGCGUAUGGGUCGUAAUUUUCUUUUAAAUAAGAAGAGGUAUUAGAUGAAUAAGGAUCGGCUAACUCCGUGCCAGCCGCCGCGGUAAUAC